rnacentral:rRNA from 1 species
GAUGAACGCUGGCGGCGUGCCUAAUACAUGCAAGUCGAGCGAACAGACGAGGAGCUUGCUCCUCUGACGUUAGCGGCGGACGGGUGAGUAACACGUGGAUAACCUACCUAUAAGACUGGGAUAGCUUCGGGAAACCGGAGCUAAUACCGGAUAAUAUAUUGAACCGCAUGGUUCAAUAGUGAAAGACGGUUUUGCUGUCACUUAUAGAUGGAUCCGCGCCGCAUUAGCUAGUUGGUAAGGUAACGGCUUACCAAGGCGACGAUGCGUAGCCGACCUGAGAGGGUGAUCGGCCACACUGGAACUGAGACACGGUCCAGACUCCUACGGGAGGCAGCAGUAGGGAAUCUUCCGCAAUGGGCGAAAGCCUGACGGAGCAACCCCGCGUGAGUGAUGAAGGUCUUCGGAUCGUAAAACUCUGUUAUUAGGGAAGAACAAAUGUGUAAGUAACUAUGCACGUCUUGACGGUACCUAAUCAGAAAGCCACGGCUAACUACGUG